AACUGAAAAUGGUGUAUUAAUUCUAAUUUAUUGAUACUAUGCGUGUUUCCAACAUAGUGAGUAGUGUGUUUAACAAUUCCUUCUUAAUACUAGGACCCCCCCUGAAAAGGAUUACAAGAAACUGACACCGUCGGUGCUACAGUAAAAUCCAAUCCAAACCAAGUAUAGUGUGCGAUCUCUCUCACCUUCAAAUUAAACCUCUGAUGCCGUUUGUGACUCAAUAUCAGAGCUCAGCGUCAUGACUGAAGUGUUGUUUAUACCGGAUGUAUCAAAUGCUACAGCGAAAAACGACAUUAUGUAGUGUUAACCUGACGAGUGUUGGGGUUGUGAGAAAGUACACAUCGGCAGCGACACACAGCAAAUAAGGUGUUGAUGAAAUAGGACAGCCAAGUAACUACGCUAUUUAAAUUAUUAUUGGUAUUGUUAUUCAAUGUCGCUUGAAGGUCAAUAUCUUUAGGUUAAGAAAUGAAGGACUAUAUCUUUAGGUUAAGGAAUGAAGGUCUAUAUCUUUAGGUUAAGGAAUGAAGGACUAUAUCUUUAGGUUAAGGAAUGAAGGACUUUAGGUUAAGGAAUGAAGGUCUAUAUCAUUAGGUUAAGGAAUGAAAGUCUAUAUCUUUAGAUUAAGGAAUGAAGGACUCUAUCUUUAGGUUAAGGAAUGAAGGUCUAUAUCAUUAGAUUAAGGAAUGAAAGACUAUAUCUUUAGGUUAAGGAAUGAAGGUCUAUAUCUUUAGGUUAAGGAAUGAAGGUCUAUAUCUUUAGAUUAAGGAAUGAAGGUCUAUAUCUUUAGGUUAAGGAAUGAAGGUUUAUAUCUUUAGAUUAAGGAAUGAAGGUCUUUAGGUUAAGGAAUGAAGGACUAUAUCUUUAAGUUAAGGAAUGAAGGUCUAUAUCAUUAGGUUAAGGAAUGAAGGAUUAAGUCGUAUUUUAUAUCAAUACUAUACGUACAUGUUGAACCAUCAGCAUGUUAAUAUGAUACAACAAGACACUCGACAUCGCUGUACGUUCUUUGUAUGACCGAAUGAGCACAGUUUUCAGUAUGGCUGCAUAUAAGAAUAUAUACACAUCAAAUAUUCGACAUGGCUGUGUGUACUUGAGGCUUUCAACGUGCAGAUACAAAUAAUUCUCAACAUGAAAUUCUGUACAUGAUUGCGCUGUAGGCAUAUAGUAUUUUUCAACAUGGCUGUACGUACACAAUACUGGCUGUAUCUACUUUCUGUGAACCUAAACUUUUUCAAACAACCUCAUAUAUGGAUAAAAGUGUAAUAAUGGGGAAAAAAAACUGAUCAUAUUUUAUUCGCUUUUUCUUCUCCUGUUUACUUUUAAACGUUACUGUUUACUAACAAUCCAAAAACACAAGUGAUAAAUAUAUAGAUAGUUAGAUCAAUUUCAUCAUUUGCUUGUUAUCGUACUGGAAAUAAA